GAGACACGCUGGCGGCGUGCCUAACACAUGCAAGUCGAACGAAGCAUAGCAAUAUGCUUAGUGGCGGACGGGUGAGUAACGCGUGAACAAUCUGCCCUGUACAAAGGAAUAGCCUCGGGAAACCGGGAUUAAAACCGUAUGACACUUUAGUAUCGCAUGAUAAGAAAGUCAAAUCGAUUAGAGGUAUGGGAUGAGUUCGCGUCUGAUUAGCUGGUUGGCGGGGUAACGGCCCACCAAGGCGACGAUCAGUAGCCGGCCUGAGAGGGUGAACGGUCACACUGGAACUGAGACACGGUCCAGACUCCUACGGGAGGCAGCAGUGGGGAAUAUUGCACAAUGGAGGGAACUCUGAUGCAGCGACGCCGCGUGAGUGAAGAAGGUCUUCGGAUCGUAAAACUCUGUCCUUGGUGAAGAAAAGGACGGUAGCCAAGGAGGAAGCCCCGGCUAACUACGUG
rnacentral:rRNA from 1 species